GUAUUGAUUGGUGCUUGCAUCAUGAUUUACAUUUGAGUGAGUGGCGAACUGGUGAGUAACACGUGGGAAACCUGCCCAGAAGCGGGGGAUAACACCUGGAAACAGAUGCUAAUACCGCAUAACAACUUGGACCGCAUGGUCCGAGCUUGAAAGAUGGCUUCGGCUAUCACUUUUGGAUGGUCCCGCGGCGUAUUAGCUAGAUGGUGGGGUAACGGCUCACCAUGGCAAUGAUACGUAGCCGACCUGAGAGGGUAAUCGGCCACAUUGGGACUGAGACACGGCCCAAACUCCUACGGGAGGCAGCAGUAGGGAAUCUUCCACAAUGGACGAAAGUCUGAUGGAGCAACGCCGCCUGAGUGAAGAAGGGUUUCGGCUCGUAAAACUCUGUUGUUAAAGAAGAACAUAUCUGAGAGUAACUGUUCAGGUAUUGACGGUAUUUAACCAGAAAGCCACGGCUAACUACGUGCCAGCAGCCGCGGUAAUACGUAGGUGGCAAGCGUUGUCCGGAUUUAUUGGGCGUAAAGCGAGCGCAGGCGGUUUUUUAAGUCUGAUGUGAAAGCCUUCGGCUCAACCGAAGAAGUGCAUCGGAAACUGGGAAACUUGAGUGCAGAAGAGGACAGUGGAACUCCAUGUGUAGCGGUGAAAUGCGUAGAUAUAUGGAAGAACACCAGUGGCGAAGGCGGCUGUCUGGUCUGUAACUGACGCUGAGGCUCGAAAGUAUGGGUAGCAAACAGGAUUAGAUACCCUGGUAGUCCAUACCGUAAACGAUGAAUGCUAAGUGUUGGAGGGUUUCCGCCCUUCAGUGCUGCAGCUAACGCAUUAAGCAUUCCGCCUGGGGAGUACGGCCGCAAGGCUGAAACUCAAAGGAAUUGACGGGGGCCCGCACAAGCGGUGGAGCAUGUGGUUUAAUUCGAAGCUACGCGAAGAACCUUACCAGGUCUUGACAUACUAUGCAAAUCUAAGAGAUUAGACGUUCCCUUCGGGGACAUGGAUACAGGUGGUGCAUGGUUGUCGUCAGCUCGUGUCGUGAGAUGUUGGGUUAAGUCCCGCAACGAGCGCAACCCUUAUUAUCAGUUGCCAGCAUUAAGUUGGGCACUCUGGUGAGACUGCCGGUGACAAACCGGAGGAAGGUGGGGAUGACGUCAAAUCAUCAUGCCCCUUAUGACCUGGGCUACACACGUGCUACAAUGGAUGGUACAACGAGUUGCGAACUCGCGAGAGUAAGCUAAUCUCUUAAAGCCAUUCUCAGUUCGGAUUGUAGGCUGCAACUCGCCUACAUGAAGUCGGAAUCGCUAGUAAUCGCGGAUCAGCAUGCCGCGGUGAAUACGUUCCCGGGCCUUGUACACACCGCCCGUCACACC
rnacentral:rRNA from 1 species